rnacentral:rRNA from 1 species
UACGGAGGGUGCAAGCGUUAUCCGGAUUUACUGGGCUUAAAGGGUGCGCAGGCGGAUAUGUAAGUCAGUGGUGAAAUCUCUAGGCUUAACCUGGAAAUUGCCGUUGAUACUAUAUAUCUUGAAUGCUGUGGAGGUAAGCGGAAUAUGUCAUGUAGCGGUGAAAUGCUUAGAUAUGACAUAGAACACCUAUUGCGAAGGCAGCUUACUACGCAGAUAUUGACGCUCAUGCACGAAAGCGUGGGGAUCAAACAGG